AAAAAAAAAAUCAUUUAACAUGGGAAAAAAGGGACUGGACAGAAGCACUCUCCUGCCCUGCCCUGCCCUGCCCCGCCUGCAUAUGGCUCGUGCGGCAUCAGAUUACGGGCGCGCGGUGGUGUUACCAGACUGGCGGUGAGGUUGUGGAAGUGGGACGCAGCAACACCCGCCCGCCCCCCGCCUCACCUCAUCUCACCUCCGUCCUGUCCCCCGCCAAGCCGUCAGACACAGGUAAGUCUUCUAUUCUUCCGGGUGAAAAAGGGAUCUUCUGG